rnacentral:lncRNA from 1 species
CCACAGGUGCUGGUGGGUCGCGUGCACACCCCCACAACAAGCUGUGGUGUGGGAGUACCUGUUCCGCCCCUGGACGCUGGCUGCACGAGCUCCGGUGGACAGUGGGCACCCCUCAGCCACGCACCGCUUUCCUGGCCGCUGCACCUCCUUCCACUGGCUCGUCUGGUCCCCCCGUGCCCGGCUGGGCCUCGCCGCCCCUGCCCACAGUCUGCGAGAGGCUUCCACGCAGUCCUCGGAGCGAGCGCGGGUGAGAGAGCCGGCUUCCGGUGAGCGGCGUGGGCCACGAACGCACGCAGAGGAGGCCCGCGGUGUCUGGAGACGCCUGGUGUCUGUGGACGUGAUCGGAGCGGGCAGCGGCCUGUGACAUCGGGGGCACAGACAAGCACGUUCAGCCAUGAACCUGGUUCCGUCUUGGAAAACGUGAGGAGCCGGCCUGGUUCGGUCUGUGGGACCUGUGUCAAGGAAGCUCACGCAAAGCCUCAGCCCCACGUGGCCCUGGGCCUGAUGCUGGACCUCCUGCUGUGCCAGGCCAGCCGGCUGCAGGGCUCGGUGAGUCCGGCCCAGGGGAAAUGCCUCCCCGUGGUCCUCUUUGCAGACGUGGACGGAGCACAGGGUUCCGAUCCGCUCCUGCAGGUGCACCUGCCUGGGGGGCCACACACCUACACGUGUCCCCAAGCACAGCCGAGGACUGAGAAGAAGGACAGCGACCAGGAACCCCCGUGGACACGCAGUGAGCUGAGAGACGUCCAGGGGCGUUCACCCCGCACCCCUCCUGCGGCCUCUUCCAGGCAGAGGCCACCUGCGGAGACCAAACCUGGGAGCAAGAAACGCAAGGACACGAGGGCUGAGGAUCCUGCCCCUGACGGAUGUCCCACACUGGGGAUCCAGUGUCCCGAUCCUGCUCCUGACGGAUGUCCCACGCCGGGGAUCCAGUGUCCCGAUCCUGCCACGACAGAUGUCCCACACCGGGGAUCCAGUGUCCCGAUCCUGCUCCUGACGGAUGUCCCACACUGGGGAUCCAGUGUCCCGAUCCUGCCCCUGACUGAUGUCCCACACCAGGGAUCCAGUGUGCGGCCCCUGAAAGGGAACCUACAGAUGGACACUGAUUAG